CUGCUGUGGGCGAAUAAUUACUUUGCCACAGUCUGUUUUUGGCUUGGCUUGGCUUUGUUCUAAACACUGCAAUGUCGCUCGUCCACCUCUUUGCUGAUCGCUAUCCCACCGGGGUAAUGACCAGCUUUGCUUUCACGGAGGGUAUUUUGGACUACGAGUUAUCUUCUCAGAUUAUUUUAAGUGGACAGAGAGGAGGAGGCUGUAUGUUUAAAAGCAGGGAAUGGCCCCGGUCAACAGGGUGAUGAGUAAAAUGAUACUUGCAGAAGCAGAAGCCCUGGCCAGCAGGGUGGAGAGGCCGGGGCCAGGGCAAACAUCUGCCCUCAUCUCCUCUUUGGAGAAGAGCGAUUAUGUUUCGGAGAAUGCUCGUCGGCACGGAAAAGCAAAAAUUCACCUUGGGUUUCACCACCUCGAACUCAGUACUGCGCGUGUCUGGUAAACGCUUCAGAGCGUCCUCCAGACGGCUUUUCUCACGGCUGGAAAUCAUUUUACAAAAAUAUGAUCGGUGAUUUUUACGAUACGUCACUUAACAGAUUGCGUAUCACUUGCGAUUAGCCAAAGGAAAUGAAAAGAAAGGACAUAUAAGUUAAGAUGCGUGUGUGUUCUUCUAAUUAGUGAUAUUCCUUCUUAAAAACCCAACGUUCUUUUUUAGAUUAAGAAACUUGAACGUCAUAACUUGAAAACCCUGUGGAUCCCCCUUUGCACGCUGGCCUGUCGCCCAGCCUCUGCCCCAGCCGCCACGGCCAGCGUCUACACCAUGUUCGCAGACCUGACUUCUUGCCGCCUACACUUCGUCCUGCACCCUUCAGGGCCCCAGGAUUCCCUUCUGGUCCUUUCUGCAUUCAGGGAGGCUAGCGGCUUUCUACCCCAACCUUUUCACCCGUCGGUUUUAAAGACAUUUCAAUUCAGCUGCUGUCUGGCUCCAUUCCUGACGUCACGUAUUGCUUUCAACCAGGCUCCGUUGGCUCCGUUCUGUGGUGCUGCUGGGAGAGUCUGAGGCCCACCUGCUUCCCCCCUGUAGCCGACACGGAUGCCUACCUCCUGCCUGGACACUCAGACCAGGCGUCUCUGGUCCCUGAAAUCGGUAAAGUCACCAGGACAAGACUCAGUGACCAACGGUUGUGACCAAUGUUGCCUGGAACGAGAGAAAGCAUCCUUUUAAUCUGCAGACUUGGCUCUCUCCUUACUUCAGGAAAAUCUUUUCAAUUAUG